CUGAGAUAUUCCUGCCACAUGCGUAAAUCCGAUGUAGCAGGUCCAUCUAGUGUAACGUGGGAACUGUCUGUCUAAAAACGGGAAAAUAGAUUGAGCAGUCUUGAUAUGAAAGCCCUUUCCUUGUGGGGUAAUUUUCAUGGCAAAGUUGAGGGAGCCUAAUAAGGACUGUAGUUCUGUGCGAUUACAGGGUUCAGUAGAGAGAUAUAUGUUUAUGUUUGAUAGGAUGCGCUCAAUCUUAUCUCUAGGCAAACUGGCCAGCAUGUUGACCGAAUCUAGUGUGAUACCAAGAAAAUUAAUCAAUGUGCUGGGUCCUUCUGUCUUUUUAGGGGAGACGGGGACCCCCAGAGAUUGGAAUAGCUGG